CACAGAUGUUAGCUCAAGACCAGUCUUCCUCAGGAAGAAAGAGGAGGAUUGGCAGCAGAUGUUAGCUCAGGGCUAAUCUUCCUCAAAAAAAAAAUAUUGCACGUGUUUGCUUUAACCAUUUUACCAAUGAGCAGGCUGAUUUACACCACCUCCUGCCCUUCCUGCUGAUGUCUUCGUGGGACCCCCGCCCCAGGUCACCCCUCGAUUCUCUCUUGGGCCCCAGAAGGACCCAGUGUGAUGGGCACUCGAGCUGGCCUCACCAUGCCUAGUGACCCGGCCACCCAGCUAAGCCAGGCCCGGCAGGGAGAGGCUGCUCAGCUGACAUGUGACACUUUCUGUAAGACGGUCACUCACAUUUCUCCGUCAUCACCCUCAACUCCCAGACCUAACAGCUCACUCCCAGGUAUUUAGAAACUAUACUUUUUGUCCCUUGUGCUAUAUUAUUCUCCUUGUACCUCGGGGGCUGGACUUGGUCCUCUGCAGACGCAGGAAUGAAGUAGAAGCAGAAGGCAUCAGAGCCAGAGGGGACCCCAGGAAUCAUCUAUGUUCACCUCCUCCUGUGCAAGUGGGGAAACCGAAGCCCAGAGAGGUGAACCAGGGUGGGAGUCAUUUUCCUGACUCCCCAUCCAGCGCUCACCUUGGCAGCCCAGGCUGCCUCCCCAGCGCCCCAGCCCCGUCGGCAUUCAGAGAGACAGCCCGAGGUGCUGAUGGGGGUCAAAGGCAGCGAGACAGCCUUCCAGCCGGCAGCCACAUGAACCAUGAAGAGUUGCUGCUGCCUUGCUGAUCAGCCUGGGGAGCGGGGAUUGACCGGAAUGCAGAGCAGAAGUGCGGCGCAGGCGCAGUGGGGCAAGGGGACCACCUCUAUCCCCUCGGGAGGCCGUACUGCAGGAUGGCCCGGGGUGGGGGGCGGGGCAUGGGGGCUCUUUUCUCCUGCCGGUCCACCCUCUCUUCCCCAUAUUCACUCAUCUCCCCUCCCAUCUCUCCUCCUCCUCCUCCUGGCUUCCCCCUCUCCCCGACUCCCUUUCUCCCUCCGCCCCAGCCCCGCAGCAAACCUGGCCUGCUUUUCCGGAUCCCGGUCCUCUGUGGAUCCCUCUGAUGCUGCUCCUCAGGAAGAGCUAGCCCCUUCUCCAGGGUGGGGACUGCACCCAGCCACUGCUCCCUCCUUUGUCUGAAUGAGCAGUUCCUGGGCCCCGGGUGGCCCCUCCUUUCCUGAGAGAGGUGGGGGCUCUCAGACCCUGUGCAGAGGCAAGGACAGGGAGGGAACCUUCAGGAGUUGGAGCUAAUGGAAGGAGAGGGAGUGGAGCAAAAUGGGUGAUCUGGGAGGGAAGAGGGCCAGAUGGGCGGGGGGUCGGGCCCUGGCCAGUGGGUGUGCAGAGAAUGGAGCCACUUGACAGCAUGGUGCCUGGGACCAUGUGUUCGUUGAAUGACUGCUUGAGGGAAGGAGUGACUGAAGGAGUAGAAGGAAGGCUCCAAGAUACUCAGAAGCUGGGGUUCCUGGCUCAGGGGCUCUGUCCCAUCGCACCAGCUCUGGGCUCCUCAGGGGUGACUCUGUGGAUUACACAUGACCCUGGAACUCCUCCCCUGGGAACCAUCCUGUGGCCUCUCACCAGCCCUCUGCUCGGAUGGAGAGCGAGGAGAGAGCGUGACCAGGCUGGCACGUAUGGAGGAAGGUGGCAGGCCCCAGGAGGCCUGUGUUCCCUGGAGGGAGCUGCCCGCCCCACCCCUCAGUGGUCACUGUGGCCUAGCCCCUGCCCCUUUAGAAACCAGGACGAGCAGCACCCGGCCUGGCUUUGGGUUUGUGCCUUUCACCAGCAAGAGGUCCCUGGGCACAAUGCCGGCCUGGCAGGAGGAGGGGGCCACUGUUCCUGGAGAGCUGGCACACCAGGGCCUCCAGAGGGCAGAGGAGGAAACUCUUGCCCUGAGAACACUGGCGUGGACCAAGACAGAAAUUCUAAAACCAGGGGCUACAGGUUACCCCGUCUUACGCAACUCGCUCCUUCGACAGGCAGGGAACUGCAGCCCAGAGAGGGAACCAGGUCUGCUCGGGGUCACUCAUGCAGUGACAGAGCCCAGAAGCCAGGUCUCCUGGCUUCACCAGAUGGUGCUGUUUGUCUGGUGAACAGGCAAACCAGGGAAAUGGCAGCAACAGUUCCCUGAGCUGAGCUCGAGGCGCCAUCCCUGGGGGCGGAGGGGUCCCGGCUGAGUAGGGGUGCAGGUGCGCACAGCCAAGGUUGGCGGGGCAGUUCAGGCCAGGGGGAAAUGCUUAGUUUCAAAGCACAUUGGUCUCAUUAGGGGUUUUUUUUAGAAUGUAUUAUUUAGGCCUGUGGAAUGAUCCACCUCAAUACCCCAGAGCUAUUGGGAGAAUUGAAUGAGAUAAUGGACACGAAAGUGCUGGGAAAACUUGACAGCCCUACAAACACUAGUCCUCAUUCUCACCUUAUUAUCAGAGGCCUGUCUUCCUAACACCUGGGUUUUAUGGAGAUUGAUAAAAUGAUAGAGCUGGAAGGGAUCCAAGACGCCACCCUGACCACUCGCCACCUCUUCGGGGGGGCCCAGAACCUUGGGGGCCAUCCUUAAGGAAAAGAAUGCAGAACCACAAAUGCAACGUUAAUACAAAAAUGAGCAUUUAUUUAGAAUAAGAAAUCACACCAAAGUAUCCAUUUCAAAAAGCCGACAAUACAGACAUCAGAAAAUUUGAGAAAAAAAUAACAAAAUAUUUUAUGUUAUUAUUAUUGAUCAUCUGUUGCCACUCACCUAUAGUGCUUUUCUCCUGCAUGUCUUGGCUGUAUAUUCUUUGAUCUCCUUUUUGGACAGUAAUUUUGUAAUGCUCUUUUCUAUAGAGAGAAUAAAAAGAGAAUUCUGUCUUUCCUGUAA